CCCAGCAGCUCUCAGCCUCAUCUGACCCAGCCCCUAUUCAAGAUGGAGACGCCCUGGUUCAGACGCCUCUGACAGAUGCUCCAAGAUGAUGUGAAGACCAGAAGUUUUUUGAAUUGCAUCUCUAAUGACCUAUCAGAUCAGAAGACUGGUAAACCUGGAGCCUCAUCCCAAGAGGUGAUGGUGUCUGGGUUUAUUAUGGAUCGCAGGAUGUAACUAUCAAUCUGGAGCUUUAGGGGGAAGAAGAAAGAAUAUUUUGAACCACACCAGGAGAAUUACCCUAGAGAAUAUAAGUUCACCUGCCAAAAUGGGAGGCUGGCAUCUUUUUGCUCUAUGAGAAGGCUGCUGAGCUAACAGGUCUGCCUUGGCAUAAAUGUCUAGAAGAGCAUGUGUCUCCUGGAGUAUGGGGACAUUUGUGUUUCCAUAAAUUGGCAGCUGCUUCUGGUUAGAGACUUCUAAAAGGUCUGGAAUACUGGAAUACUGGUAUAGUCCAAAAGGGGAAGAUGAAAAGGAGCCGUGGAACAUUGUACCAGGAAGAAGAUGGGACAUUACUCUCCGCAUGCCCUGGAGCUUUCGGAAGACGUAUAAGAGGAUCUUAGUUUCCAUAGCUCCACAUGAAAGAGCAAGCAGGGCUGCUGAUGUCCACUGUGGGCUCCAAGUGAGGGACUGGCCCAUGGGCAGGAGGUGAGGGAGACUUACUUGCUUUUCUCUGAGCUGGUCCACAGGAGCAGAGGAGACUGGGGUGAGCCUCACUCCAGAAUACUUGUAGAGUAUGUGACACCGGUUACCAACCUUGGCUCCACAAAAAUUACCUGUGAACCUUCUAAAAUACACAUAAGAAAUUCUUACUGAAUUGAACUGGGACGAGAUUCCACGUAUCAGGAUUCUGUAAAAGCUCCCCCAGUGACUCAAGAUGAAGUCCGGGUUGAAGACCAGUGAUAUGCAGGAAAUGUGUCCUGUGAUUUGAAACCACAUUCCAUUUGUCAAGCAAGACACUACGGCCACAUAAUGGAGAUCUACUUCCAUAUGAACCAGUGGAUUUCACUCUGCUUAAUGGAAGUGCCUUAGACUACUUCUCAAACCUCAGUCCACGUCAGAAUCACCAAAGGGCCUGAUGCAUCCCAGAUUCCAGUCCCUUCUCUCCAUCCCAGACAUUCUGCUGAGGUAGGUCAGAGGUGAGGCCUGAGAAUCUCGGUUUCUUCCAACUGCCCCACUCAUGCUGACGCUGCAGUUGGGGGAAUGCCCCCUGACAACCACUUCCUUAGAAUAUAAAGCAUCCCCUGCCUUCCACAACUAUUAAAAUGGAAUGGAUGUCUACUUUUCUAUAAUGUUCUCUGUAUUUCUCCUGGCUUAUUUCUUUAGGCAGCUUACCUUCUAAUUACUAAAUUCUUCCUCAUAUGAACCUAAAUAUCUCUCUGUAAUUUAUUUCACAUCGUUUCCUGUUUCUGAAGUUUUUAAUUAUCACACUUCUUUCUGGAUUAUCUAAUCUCUCUAGAUUUAAUGUUUUUAAGCUACCAUCACACAUUUCAAAUUUAUUUGCCUGUUAACAGCAUGUUGACACUUUGUUACUAUGAGUCAAUCUUGGUUUGACUAUUGCC
rnacentral:lncRNA from 1 species